rnacentral:piRNA from 1 species
CCCAUUUUCGCUUAUGAGGGCUUGCUACAA